GGGGGUGUAGGAUGUAAAAGUUUGUAAAUAAAUUAAAAUAAAAUAAAAGUAUAGAUAGGAGAUGUGAGAUAGAAGGAGAAUAGACAUUUAAAUAGGUUUAGUUUUUAAAACAUAUUAUUAUAAGUGAGGAGAUAUUAGAGAUAUAGUUAGGUUGUUUUAUAAAUAUUAAGAUAUAGAGAGCGUGAUGGCAUUUUGUGAUUAAGAAACCCUAGAAACUCUAAAUCCAAGAAAGAAGCAAAAGAGAGACAUUUGGUAGAGAAGAGAAAUAACAACACGAACCCUUAAGGCAAAGAGAAGAUUGGUGGUGUUUUGGGGUUAUAAGUAUUGGCCAAUGUAUGGGGAAACUUACCUUUGUUUUUCUUGUUGAUUGUAUGUUAUAUGUGUACGUGAUUAUCUUGAU
rnacentral:lncRNA from 1 species